rnacentral:rRNA from 1 species
AUUGAACGCUGGCGGUAUGCUUAACACAUGCAAGUCGAACGGUAGCAGGCCUUCGGGCGCUGACGAGUGGCGGACGGGUGAGUAACGCGUAGGAAUCUACCUUUUAGUGGGGGACAACUUAGGGAAACUUAAGCUAAUACCACAUACGCCCUACGGGGGAAAGCGGGGGAUCUUCGGACCUCGCGCUAAAAGAUGAGCCUGCGUUGGAUUAGCUAGUUGGUAGGGUAAAGGCCUACCAAGGCGACGAUCCAUAGCUGGUCUGAGAGGACGAUCAGCCACACUGGGACUGAGACACGGCCCAGACUCCUACGGGAGGCAGCAGUGGGGAAUAUUGGACAAUGGGCGAAAGCCUGAUCCAGCAAUACCGCGUGUGUGAAGAAGGCCUGAGGGUUGUAAAGCACUUUCAAUUGGGAGGAAUACCUAUCGGCUAAUACCCGGUAGCUUGACAUUACCUUUAGAAGAAGCACCGGCUAACUCCGUG